AUUGAACGCUGGCGGCAUGCUUUACACAUGCAAGUCGAACGAGUGGCGAACGGGUGAGUAAUAUAUUGGAACGUACCGAGUAACGGGGGAUAACCAAUCGAAAGAUUGGCUAAUACCGCAUAUUAUUCGAGCGGCCGCUAACUGAUUAGCUAGUUGGGGGGGUAAAGGCCUACCAAGGCGACGAUCAGUAGCGGAUCUGAGAGGACGAUCCGCCACGCUGGGACUGAGGCACGGCCCAGACUCCUACGGGAGGCAGCAGUGGUGAAUUGUGGACAAUUGGGGCAACCCUGAUCCAGCCAUGCCGCGUGUAUGAAGAGAGCCUUCGGGUUUUAAAGUACUUUUGUUAGAGAAGCGGUACCUAACGAAUAAGCACCGGCUAACUACGUGCCAGCAGCCGCGGUAAUUC
rnacentral:rRNA from 1 species